rnacentral:rRNA from 1 species
UACGAAGGGGGCUAGCGUUGCUCGGAAUCACUGGCGUAAAGCGCACGUAGGCGGAUUGUUAAGUCAGGGGUGAAAUCCUGGAGCUCAACUCCAGAACUGCCUUUGAUACUGGCGAUCUCGAGUCCGGGAGAGGUGAGUGGAACUGCGAGUGUAGAGGUGAAAUUCGUAGAUAUCGCAAGAACACCAGUGGCGAAGGCGGCUCACUGGCCCGGUACUGACGCUGAG